rnacentral:rRNA from 1 species
CCUACGGGAGACAGCAGUGAGGAAUAUUGGUCAAUGGACGAGAGUCUGAACCAGCCAAGUAGCGUGAAGGAUGACUGCUCUAUGGGUUGUAAACUUCUUUUAUAUGGGAAUAAAAUGUUCCACGUGUGGGAUUUUGUAUGUACCAUAUGAAUAAGGAUCGGCGAACUCCGUGCCAGCAGCCGCGGUAAUACGGAGGAUCCGAGCGUUGUCCGGAUUUAUUGGGUUUAAAGGGAGCGUAGGUGGAUUGUUAAGUCAGUUGUGAAAGUUUGCGGCUCAACCGUAAAAUUGCAGUUGAAACUGGCAGUCUUGAGUACAGUAGAGGUGAGCGGAAUUCGUGGUGUAGCGGUGAAAUGCUUAGAUAUCACGAAGAACUCCGAUUGCGAAGGCAGUUCACUGGACUGCAACUGACACUGAGGCUCGAAAGUGUGGGUAUCAAACAGGAUUAGAUACCCCAGUAGUC